CGGAGAAUAAUAGCACAGGGCUCUAAACUGGAAGGACUUGUCUCUCUGUCUCCCUCAGUCAUCCGGACCGACCUGUCCCCAUUCAGAGCCUCUCUGAAGAUUUGCUGCUGGUUGGGGAAUUCGAAGCUGAGCGAUGUGUCAGGGGUUGUCAUAUAAAAUGCCCGUCAGACGUUAUCGCCUGGCUUUCAUAACCUCCCAACGACUCAUUGCGGCCGUCCAGGAUGAUGGAGCGAUGGAAAAGUUUGUCUUCGCCAUAAAUGAAACUUAGCAGAAAUGGUCCAUUAUGUGCCAAAUGAGUAAUUUGUGUGGGCAAUGUCUAAGGUUAAUUCUGCCGUCAUUAAAACAUCCUGAAUAGUCUGGAAACGCUCUUACGCGUCGCGAUGCCGUGAGAAUAGAAAUCGCUUGUUAGCUACUUUCAGUUCACCAUCUGCUCCACGUGGAGUUUUGGUGUCACUAAAUGGUUUUCUGUGUCUUGCAGAGCUGCCAGGACGGAGGAUUUAAUCAUUUUACAGAAAGGAACGCGUUUAAUGUUCAUUUGUUUGUCGCUCCAUGUUAGUAUUGGUGUGGUUAAUUAAAAAACAAUAAAAACAGCCCACAUUUAUUAUAUUGUGUAAUUAAUAUUAGUAAAAUAGAGGUGUCAAACUGAUCUUUGUGUUCUGUAUGAGACAUUUUAGAGAAAUUAAAUCUCUCUUUUGUUUUCAUUUCACUGUCUCUACACCAACCGAGACACACGUGGCGGCACUAUAGUAAUCCUUUACUGGAAACCAGGCUGGCCCUAGGUGGCCCUGAGUGACCCCAGGUGGCCCUAGGUGACCCUGGGUGGCUCUGAGUGUCCCUGGGCUGCCGUGAGCUGCAUCCUACAUGUUUACCGUAUCCUGGGCUUUUCCAUUCACACCAGCCAACUCAUCUUUCUGUUUCUCAGCAAAACCAAUCAGCAUCAGGCAGAAAACACCCAAGGGCAUGUGUGAGGGGACCAAAUCUGGCUCGCUGUCAUUCAGCGACUGUAACCUCCAACUAGAAUACACUCCAACAAAUCACAUUUAUUCCUGCACUGUUUGGAGAUGUGAGUCUGUCACACAGGAUGAGAUGUUCUGCAGGUUGUACGCAUCCAAAAAUAUACCUUAGCUCAGUCUUGUUCACUGAAUCUCCUAUAUAUGACAGAGGACAUAUACAUUUGUUGAUACGUAAAUCUUAGAAACAGACAGUAAAAUCACUAGAUUGGUAAAAAUGUCAAAUGUCAUUUGAAAUGAACUCUGAGCCUUUUGUAAACCUGAGGAAGAGUGUGGUGAUUUGUAGUAAAUAUUGGCACAAAUGCAUACAUUAAACGGCCAUAAAGGGUAUUUUUCUAAAAACAUUUUGUAUGUAUUCAUAGAUACACACGGCUGAACGUUAUCUCCACCUGCAGUUGUUAGGUGGCAAUUAGAUUAAAUAGUUUUAUGGUGCAAUGUCUCCACCUACUGGCCACAGAUAGUACUACAUUUCUCAAUGAGCUGCCUGCAAUUCGUGAACGUCUUCAUCUUAACAUCUACUUAGAUGUUUAAACCUAGCGUUGCUAUUAAGGCAUAGGUUCAAUAAUCUGCACAUUAUUAUUACUUACUUAUAAACUGGGCUAUAGCUAACGAUUAUUACAAUGUGUUAAUCCCUUUCAUAUGGUAGACUAAUGAUAAAGUCAAGAAGCAUAAAUUUAGGAAAAGUGAUAAUCAACACGUAAAAAAUAAUAAGAACUUGCUGGCAAACUGCGAAAUUAAUUCUAAUUUAAAGGUAAACUUAAAAAAAUAUAUAAAACUUUAUGGAAAAUACCAUAUUGCUUUUUGUUAAUGCAGGCCAUUUUACAUAAAAAUACAAAUGUUACACAGGACUGUAUUACAACCUUGACCAAACUACAAAUAUUUUCCCGUUUUCAUUUUCCGUAGCCUACGGAAAUACAUUUUAAUACAAAUG
rnacentral:lncRNA from 1 species